rnacentral:lncRNA from 1 species
UUCUAUUAGUUUGUUGCAGGGCUUCCGUGUCAUUGAAAGAUUCAGUCCCAGUUUAAAUGGUUUAAAUUCUUCAAACAGUUUGUAUUUUUUGCACCGCCAGUACACAGAAGCGUCUUAUAACGAUCUUUAUUGAUAAAUCGAUAUGUGGCCAUUGUUUAUUGCGUUUUGAAGAGCACUCGCUUCGUCUUUCCAACAAGACUCGUAGGUUCGGCGCUCCGAUUUACAUUUAAGCUGUCAUCUUCUCGGAAGCAGGCGCUCAUGCUUGGAGACCUGCAGAGCACGAACUGCAGCAUGUAUGCCGAAAUAAACAGCUAUUGCCUAUUUAAAAUAGAACCAAUGUA